UAUAUAUAUAUACACACACACACAUACAUACACAUAUACACACACAUACAUACAUAGAUAUAUGUACACAUACACAGACACUAGUCCUGGGGUUCGAUUACAAUGUUCAAUCACAUUAUAAUGCACCCAACCCAAUACUGAUGGGACUGAGAGACAGACUUUCAAAAGAAUAAUAACAAUAACAACAAAAGCUUUAACGCGCUUUCAAAAAAUGAUUUGAUGGCGCGAGGCCUCUCUGGUCCCCUGGGGAACACCCUGGUCCUGCUGGUGGACCCUCCAGCUACUGCCCAGCAGAGAUCAUUGUAGGCCUCUCUGGUCCCCUGGGGAACACCCUGGUCCUGCUGGUGGACCCUCCAGCUACUGCCCAGCAGAGAUCAUUGUAGGCCUCUCUGGUCCCCAGGGGAACACCCUGGUCCUGCUGGUGGACCCUCCAGCUACUGCCCAGCAGAGAUCAUUGUAGGCCUCUUUGGUCCCCUGGGGAACACCCUGGUCCUGCUGGUGGACCCUCCAGCUACUGCCCAGCAGAGAUCAUUGUAAACGUGAGUGGGUGUCAUGAGUCACACACUCUGUCCUGAAUACCUGUGUAUCAGGGCUCCUGCUGCCUGACCAAACACGCUGAUAAGCGACGCCUCGUCUUCAGAUACGACCUCUGGCUGAGAAGAGAGGGGGGGCUGAGCGGAGGGCGUCCGGAAGAACUCACACUUCUGUUUGUCCUCCCAGGAUUUAAGGGUGCUCUCAAACGCCUGAAAGAUGCAAAGACACACAGAUGGUGAAGCUCUGGUAGAGUAACGGUACGACUGGUUGCUUGUGGUGCCAAAUUGCGCUUAACAAGAUAUUUGUCAGCUUUUGUGAGUCAAUCUUUACGUAUAGUCGACUGCACACAGGGCUCAAGGACACACACUCGUCUCACAGCUUGAACCCUCCUGGGUACAUUUCCAAUCAUAAAGUAUUGUAUAUGCUACCAAUCAAUUAAAGGCCACCACACAUAGUUCUCAAAGUAAAUGCUUGUGUAUUAACAAUUAAUGGGCAUACAAUAUAAUACACAGUCAUUCCGGUUUGGGGGGCUGAGCCGGGAAAGGAACAAAAUAAUUGUCCAGCACAAAAAGAGUCUCACUGCUUUACUGUAGUGUCAAAAGUUAUGGACUGUUCAGUCUAGUAAAUCCAGUCCGACCAUUACUUUACCACGGAAGCUUUCUCCGCGUCUGAAUACGCUCCAGGAUCUCGUCCUGGCAACUUUCCGCGCUCAACAACCGGAUCGCUCGUAACGCAGACUUUAGUUCGCCCACAUUCCCCUUUUGUCACCCUUUCAGUUGUACUGUGUCUCUGGUGAGGGUCUGGGGUAGUACUGUGUCACUGGUGAUGGUCUAGUACUCACCCGGUCUCUGGUGAGGGUCUGGGGUAGUACUGUGUCACUGGUGAUGGUCUAGUACUACCCGGUCUCUGGUGAGGGUCUGGGGUAGUACUGUGUCACUGGUGAUGGUCUAGUAC
ensembl:lncRNA